GCCUGGGUGGCUUAGUCGGUGAAGCAUCUGACUUCAGCUCAGGUCAUGAUCUCAUGGUUCGUGGGUUUCAGCCCCAUGUCUGGCU
rnacentral:tRNA from 1 species